CUUAGUUAAUUCCCUGGUAAUUUCUGGUUAAUCCGGGAUUUCCUAGCUAAGAUGCAGGUAAUGGACACUAGUCCGAUCGUUGUAAUGGCCACGACACCUACGAAUGACCGCCAGUUCGUAGCCCUGUC
rnacentral:ncRNA from 14 species